GGGCACGAUUUGGCUUCGACGUGAGUUGCAAAGUAGCAUGACGAGGAUCAGUUAUCUCGUAAAUACAUGUAAAAAAUAGCCGCAAACUAAGAAAAUUUUAGUUGCUUAAUUCAGCGGAAAUCCAUACCGGUUGGCCUUAAUGCCGGGUCUGACAGAAAAUGUAAUCAAAUGGAAACGGAUCGAUCAGAAUUAACCUCAAUAAGCAAAAACGGCUCAAGUAAAAAGAAAGUAGAAAUGCCGGGCGA
rnacentral:tmRNA from 1 species